rnacentral:rRNA from 1 species
UGGGGAAUCUUGCGCAAUGGGCGAAAGCCUGACGCAGCGACGCCGCGUGAGGGAAGAAGGCUUUCGGGUUGUAAACCUCUUUCAGAAGGGACGAAGCCACUCGGGUGAAUAGCCCAGAGGGUGACGGUACCUUCAGAAGAAGCCCCGGCUAACUACAUGCCAGCAGCCGCGGUAAUACGUAGGGGGCAAGCGUUGUCCGGAUUUAUUGGGCGUAAAGAGCGUGUAGGCGGGUUUGGGUAGGGUCCGCUGUGAAAACUCGAGGCUCAACCUCGAGACGCCGGUGGAAACCAUCAGACUAGAGUCCGGAAGAGGAGAGUGGAAUUCCUGGUGUAGCGGUGAAAUGCGCAGAUAUCAGGAAGAACACCCGUGGCUAAGGCGGCUCUCUAGUACGGUACUGACGCUGAGACGCGAAAGCGUGGGGAGCGAACAGGAUUAGAUACCCUGGUAGUCCACGCCGUAAACGAUGGGUGCUAGGUGUAGGGGGUGUCGACUCCCUCUGUGCCGAAGCUAACGCAUUAAGCACCCCGCCU